GAUGAACGCUGGCGGCGUGCCUAAUACAUGCAAGUCGAGCGAACGGACGAGAAGCUUGCUUCUCUGAUGUUAGCGGCGGACGGGUGAGUAACUCGUGGAUAACCUACCUAUAAGACUGGGAUAACUUCGGGAAACCGGAGCUAAUACCGGAUAAUAUUUUGAACCGCAUGGUUCAAAAGUGAAAGACGGUCUUGCUGUCACUUAUAGAUGGAUCCGCGCUGCAUUAGCUAGUUGGUAAGGUAACGGCUUACCAAGGCAACGAUGCAUAGCCGACCUGAGAGGGUGAUCGGCCACACUGGAACUGAGACACGGUCCAGACUCCUACGGGAGGCAGCAGUAGGGAAUCUUACGCAAUGGGCGAAAGCCUGACGGAGCAACGCCGCGUGAGUGAUGAAGGUCUUCGGAUCGUAAAACUCUGUUAUUAGGGAAGAACAUAUGUGUAAGUAACUGUGCACAUCUUGACGGUACCUAAUCAGAAAGCCACGGCUAACUACGUG
rnacentral:rRNA from 1 species